rnacentral:rRNA from 1 species
GAUGAACGCUAGCGGCAGGCCUAAUACAUGCAAGUCGAACGGUGUCUUCGGACAUAGUGGCGCACGGGUGCGUAACACGUAUGCAACCUACCUUACAUUGGGGGAUAGCCUUUCGAAAGGGAGAUUAAUACCGCAUAAGACAGUAGCUGGGCAUCCAGCAGCUGUUAAAGAUUUAUCGAUGUAAGCUGGGCAUGCGUCCAAUUAGCUAGUUGGUGAGGUAACGGCUCACCAAGGCUAUGAUUGGUAAGGGAACUGAGAGGUCAAUCCCCCACACUGGCACUGAGAUACGGGCCAGACUCCUACGGGAGGCAGCAGUAGGGAAUAUUGGGCAAUGGACGCAAGUCUGACCCAGCCAUGCCGCGUGCAGGAUGAAGGCGUUAUGCGUUGUAAACUGCUUUUAUACAGGAAGAAACGACUCUUGCGAGAGGCGUUGACGGUACUGUAUGAAUAAGCACCGGCUAACUCCGUGCCAGCCGCCGCGGUAACAC